AUGUGUCAGUCAAACUUCAGCAGCCUCACUACGAGCAUCUAUACCAUCUCAAGUCAAAAGAUCAAUUAUACAACUAUAGCAUCGAGACAAUCACUGACGAUUGAAUAAAAAUUUAAGUGAUCUCUUGUAUGGUCAUGCUCAAUGCUAGUUAUUUUCUAACAAGCAUCCACACUUGUCAUCUUGUAUCUCUAAAUAGUACACCAGAGACUCAUCUAUCUCAAAGGAAGUGAUUUAUACAUCAGUCUAUUCAGAUCUAUCACCAUCCUCAAGAUUGUCCUAU
rnacentral:lncRNA from 1 species